CCAUUGUGCUACAGUGGGAACUCCAUGAAGUGGUGUCUCCAGGAGUUGCUGCGGUACAACAGGAUUGGUGGCGUCUCUGUAAAGCUAGGACGGCCGAACCCACAUGUAUGG